CCUGAACCCUCAUUUGACUUGAAAUGUCUUUACAGCUAUAACGUUUCAUCCUCUUAAAAAAUUAAAAUUUAAAAAAAGGAAAAAAAAAAGAGGCCAAAUUUGAAAUAAAGACUGCCACAAGAUCUCCGCAUCUUCCAAACAUUAGAGCGGAGCCGACUCUACGGUACAAUACAAACAAAUAAUCAAUGUUCGUUACAGACAAACGUGGUCCUGUCCUUGUUAGUGUGAAUUGGUGCACACAUUUGUAUAGCUGCAUUUCUGAUAAUAAAUGAACUGUACAAACAUCGAUUUGCAUGAAAACUGCCAUUGAAAGUAAUGUUUGAAUGGGUACACUUGUCAUCAAUGGACAAGCUGAAAAAUUACACAAUUAUUAAAUGCUCUAUUUCAGCUUCAAUAUUUGGAUUUACUUUCAGGUUUGGUUUCGUACCACUACCGAGAUUGCAACAUUAAUUCCUCGUAGACGGAGUGAGGCGAGGGCCACUUUAUCUUCCACCUCCUC
rnacentral:lncRNA from 1 species